GGGGGCCGCGGUGGGGGCAGGGACGGGGACAGGUCCUCGCUCCCCCGGCCGGAACCCAGCGUCUCCAUCCGGGACGUCAGGGGCCCAGGACCCGCAGCGGGUGCGGCGGGGUCGCCCGCUUCGGGCUCUCGGAAGGGACACUCACGGACGCUCAUCCGGGGCCAGUGUGUCUGCCCCCCGGGAAAGAUGGUUCGCUUCGAGGACGGAACACCCUUAAAACCGAGAUCGUGCCACCCAGAUGAGAACGCCGGGCCGAGAAGCUUUCCGCCGGGAGGGGAGGAGGAGUGAGGAACGCCGCGGGAUGGGGAGGCCAGGGGUCCGCGGACGCUGACUCUCUGGCUCGGAGGGCAGAGCCGGGUUGCCGCAUGCGGGGGAAGGAGAGCCGUGGGACAGAGCCGCAGUCCUGCCGGAGCCCGCAGCCCCCGAGAAAGGGUCAAAGAAAACGCAGUGCAUCGCAGAGGAUGUAAACCUGGCUAGGAGGGAGCAGCCCAGGGCCGGCGACGACCUAGCCGGGCGAGGAGGGUGGGAGGAAGCGGGCAGUGCAGACACGCAGCGGCCACCUCUCGGGGGACGCCCGCGGGGAGCCGUGGGCAAGUGGGAUUCUCUUGGGAAACAGUCGUAGGACUUGAGGUUGGAGCAGUGGACCAGGGUCCCCCAAAAUUCCCUUAAUGCCCGUGGCGGGCUUCUAAUCUAACCACAUUCCUUCGGCCAACGUACCCGGUUUGCCCUAUUCUGAGCCCUAAAGCACAGCAGGGAGCAAAACCGGGCCCUAUGGAGCAGACGUUGUAAUUCCAGUUCCUAGGCAGUCUGAUAACCUCCAGAGCUUCAAGAGAUGAAACAUUUGGGUUCAGAUCAGACUCUGGGUUGGGACUAACCCUGGGCCUUUACCCGCUGAAAGUGUGACUUUGAGCACGUCACAACCUCUGAGCUUCUAUUUUCCUCACCUGUAAGCUGUAGAUAGUAUGUGUGCCCACUUCAUAGGGGGACCAUAAUGGGUUAAUAAGUGUUCUUAGGGUACAUAAGCGCCAUAUACCUGCCAGUUUUUAAUUAUUUACACCACAUAGCCAAAGUUUUUCUGUAUAUUUAUGAAGGAACAAUUCAAACAUGUUGGAACAAGUGCCUCAGUCGUCUGUUCUUGUAUCUUGAUUCAGCAAACACCAUCAAGUGAUGGGGAUAAAGGAUGAAGGCAUAGGCUGCAGCUUUGCCAUCCAAGACUUCAUUGUCUUUUAGGAGGUGUAAGCAAAGAAGGACAAGGUUUAGGGCAGAAACAGAAGGGAGAUUCCACCUGCCUGUGGGAGGGGAGAUGUUAGAAUUUCUGAGUAUUCAUGUGGAAAGGGAUUCCAGGCACAUGAAUAACAAAGGGCCAAGACAUGAACAACAUUCCAAGUUGAAGGAACUCAAGUUUAAUAAGUCCAAGUUAAAAUUGGGGGAGGGGGAGUUAAAAUUGGGAGCAAGUAAAGGGUUCUAAGCCAGAAAGGCUUCUUUUUCCAUUUCAGGAUAGAUUUGGAAGGGUUAAGACCAAGAGGCAGGAAAACCACUUAGUAGACCCCUAAAAUAGGAAACAGGUGAAGGUGUAUUAGGCCAUCAUUUAUAAGGAUGGAGAGGAGACGGGUCCAGAAACGUGUAGGAGGUUAAAUCAUUAAGAUGAGGUUGAAGGAGAGGAAGAGUGCCCAAAAUCUCAAGUUCAGGCUUAGUACGUCACGGUUGUGUCACCUAGUGAGAUAGGCCAUGCAGACUGUAGCUAGAUUGCUAAGAUGGAUAACUGCUUGGAACGACUUGAUUACUUGAAGGUACAGCCCGUAUAUUCCUGUGGGACAGUUUGAUCUGAUAAUACAAGAUUACCAGAGUUAGCAAAUAGCAAAGACCUAAAGAGAAUUUGACCUUUCAAAGAUUGACCCAGGAAUUGCGUAUUUCAUUUUGUAGCAAUAUCAUAAAAGCAAUACCAUUUUGUAGCCCCAAGUGCUGGUAACCAUUGCAAGAGGUCAGAAAAGAUGAUGGGAGUUUUCCUUUGCACAAGCCCUAGUUCCUUCACAAUUUACUCAGUCGUCUGGACAAACACGUUCUGAGAUUGGAAUAGAGACACAAGGAUCUCUGACAAGAGGCAGAGUGCCAUCCCCCUUCAGCUCUCAAGUGGCGGAGACCUAGAUUUGACUCCCACUCAGGCCAGUGAAGAGGAAGAAAGGGGGAAAUACUGUCCAGCAGCAGCUCCCAAGUUGGGACCUGCCCAAAGGGGUCUCCCAACAAGGCAAGAACCCUGCCCUCACACAGCUGAAUCCGAGCCAUUCCAGAUGCACACACUAAAGUGUUGCUUGGGGCCAUUGGAAAGAACCACCGUGGCGCCCUAAAUUAUCAAAAAGUUUCUUAGUAAGCAAGGUUGGAAAUCUUAAGGGCUGGUAACCAGCUGUAAUGCUGUCACCCACCUCCGCUAAAAGAGAACUUUAGCGUUUUUGUUCUUGGCAAGCAGCCCCUCUCCUGGAUAAAUGUCACCGACUGUCCCGAAGUCAGGUGCUAUCAGCACGCUCACUUCACAGCUGGAAACCUGAGGCCCAGAUUGAGAAGGGCCCAAGGGCACAGGGCCAGGCUUCCAGCCCACUUGGGACAGUACGACCUGAGGCUGAGCCCGCACCCUGCAAACUUCUGAGGCCCUCCCUCAUUUUAUGAAGGAGGAAAUCAGGGCCCGGAAACCAGGGGAUUCGACACGAUCACACAAACAGCAUGUGAGAAGGUCAAACUUUGAAAAUGAAUUUCCCGUCGUGGCUCAGCAGAAACAAAUCUGCCUAGUAAACAUGGGGACGCAGAUUCAACCCCUGGCCUCCCUCAGUGGGUUAAGGAUCUGGCGUUGCCAUGAGCUGUGGUGUAGGUCACAGACGUGGCUUGGAUCCCGAACAGCUGUAGCUCUGAUUCGACCCCUAGGCUGGGAACUUCCAUGUGCCACGGGUGCAGCCCUAAAAAGGAUAAAAAAAGAAAAAAUGCAUGAUUUGCAUAAUCUUUUCCUACCACCAGCAAGCCUGAACUAUUUAUUUAUUCUCUUUAAGGGUGAGGAAACUGAGGCUUAGAAAGUUAAAAAUUUGACUACUGAUGAAACAUCAUUAAAAAAGAAUUCAGGAGUUCCCAUUGUGGUGCAGCGGAAACAAAUUCUGACUAGGAACCAUGAGGUUGCGGGUUCAAUCCCUGGCCUCACUCAGUGGGUUAAGGAUCCAGCAUUGCUGUGCCUCUGGCGUAGGCCAUCGGCUACAGCUCCAAUUCAGCCUCUCUCCUGGGGACCUCCAUAUGCCGCAGGUGCGGCCUUAAAAACACAAAAAG
rnacentral:lncRNA from 1 species